GAUGAACGCUAGCGGCAGGCCUAAUACAUGCAAGUCGAACGAUAUUUUCCAGCUCGCUGGGAGAGAAAGUGGCGCACGGGUGCGUAACGCGUAUGCAACCUACCUUUAUCAGGGGGAUAGCCCGGAGAAAUCCGGAUUAAUACCGCAUAAAAUCACAGAACGGCAUUGUUCAAUGAUCAAACAUUUAUGGGAUAAAGAUGGGCAUGCGUGUCAUUAGCUAGUUGGCGGGGUAACGGCCCACCAAGGCGACGAUGACUAGGGGAUCUGAGAGGAUGGCCCCCCACACUGGUACUGAGACACGGACCAGACUCCUACGGGAGGCAGCAGUAAGGAAUAUUGGUCAAUGGAGGCAACUCUGAACCAGCCAUGCCGCGUGCAGGAAGGCUGCCCUAUGGGUUGUAAACUGCUUUUAUCCGGGAAUAAACCUCCGAUCGUGAUCGGAGCUGAAUGUACCGGAAGAAUAAGGAUCGGCUAACUCCGUGCCAGCCGCCGCCGUAA
rnacentral:rRNA from 1 species